rnacentral:rRNA from 1 species
GACGAACGCUGGCGGCGUGCUUAACACAUGCAAGUCGAACGGAAAGGCCCUGCUUUUGUGGGGUGCUCGAGUGGCGAACGGGUGAGUAACACGUGAGUAACCUGCCCUUGACUUUGGGAUAACUUCAGGAAACUGGGGCUAAUACCGGAUAGGAGCUCCUGCUGCAUGGUGGGGGUUGGAAAGUUUCGGCGGUUGGGGAUGGACUCGCGGCUUAUCAGCUUGUUGGUGGGGUAGUGGCUUACCAAGGCUUUGACGGGUAGCCGGCCUGAGAGGGUGACCGGCCACAUUGGGACUGCGCUACGGCCCAGACUCCUACGGGAGGCAGCAGUGGGGAAUAUUGCACAAUGGGCGGAAGCCUGAUGCAGCAACGCCGCGUGCGGGAUGACGGCCUUCGGGUUGUAACCCGCUUUCGCCUGUGACGAAGCGUGAGUGACGGUAAUGGGUAAAGAAGCACCGGCUAACUACGUG